rnacentral:rRNA from 1 species
AUUGAACGCUGGCGGCAGGCCUAACACAUGCAAGUCGAACGGAAGCACAGUGCUUGCUUGUGGUUUCAGCGGGGGACUGGCGUGUGUUGCAUGGGAAUAUCCCUAGCUAUUUUUUCGUACGUCUUAACGUAGGCGCUCUUACCGCAUUAGCGCAGAGGACGUACGUGGGGGAGCUUCGGACCUUCCGCUCUUAGGUGAUUGUAGGUCGGAUUAGCUAGUUGGUGGGGUAAAGGCCUACCAACCCGACGAUCCGUAGCUGGUCUGAGAGGAUGAUCAGCCACACUGGAACUGAGACACGGUCCAGACUCCUACGGGAGGCAGCAGUGGGGAAUAUUGGACAAUGGGCGAAAGCCUGAUCCAGCCAUGCCGCGUGGGUGAAGAAGGCCUUCGGAUUGUAAAGCCCUUUUAUUGGGGAAGAAACGCAGUAGGUUAAUACCUUGCUGUUUUGACGGUACCAACAGAAUAAGCACCGGCUAACUUCGUG